GUCGAACGGGAAAGGGGAGCAAUCCCUGAGUACAGUGGCGUACGGGUGAGUAACACGUGGGUAAUCUACCUUCGGGUGGGGGAUAACCCUGGGAAACCGGGGCUAAUACCGCAUAAGAUCGAGAGAUGAAAGCCGCAAGGCGCCGGAAGAGGAGCCCGCGGCCGAUUAGCUAGUUGGUGGGGUAAAGGCUCACCAAGGCGAAGAUCGGUAGCCGGCCUGAGAGGGCACUCGGCCACACUGGCACUGAGACACGGGCCAGACUCCUACGGGAGGCAGCAGUGGGGANUCUUGCACAAUGGGGGAAACCCUGAUGCAGCGACGCCGCGUGAGCGAUGAAGCCCUUCGGGGCGUAAAGCUCUUUCGACGGGAACGAUGAUGACGGUACCCGGAGAAGAAGCUGCGGCUAACUACGUGCCAGCAGCCGCGGUAAUACGUAGGCAGCGAGCGUUGUUCGGAGUUACUGGGCGUAAAGAGUAUGUAGGCGGUUUCUCAGGUCUGGUGUGAAAUCUCCCGGCUCAACUGGGAGGGUGCGCCGGAAACUGGGAGGCUGGAGCGUGGGAGAGGAAAGCGGAAUUCCCGGUGUAGCGGUGAAAUGCGUAGAUAUCGGGAGGAANNNCGGUGGUGUAGANGGCUUUCUGGACCACGGCUGACGCUGAGAUACGAAAGCGUGGGGAGCAAACAGGAUUAGAUNCNNNGGUAGUCCACGCCCUAAACGAUGCGCACUUGGUGUGAGUCAUUCAGUUGAUUCGUGCCGGAGCUAACGCGUUAAGUGCGCCG
rnacentral:rRNA from 1 species